rnacentral:rRNA from 1 species
AAUCAACGCUGGCGGCGUGCCUCAGACAUGCAAGUCGAACGCGAAAGUCCCCUUCGGGGGACAAGUAGAGUGGCGCACGGGUGAGUAACACGUAGGUAAUCUACCUUCGGAUGGGGAAGUAACAACCGGAAACGGUUGCUAAUACCGCAUAAUGCAGCGGCACCUAAUGGUGACAGUUGUUAAAGCGGGGGAUUGAAAGACCUCGCGUCUGAAGAGGAGCCUGCGGCGGAUUAGCUUGNGGUUAGGGUAACGGCCUACCAAGGCGACGAUCCGUAGCCGGCCUGAGAGGGCGGUCGGCCACACUGACACUGACAUACGGGUCAGACUCCUACGGGAGGCAGCAGUCGGGAAUUUUGGGCAAUGGGCGAAAGCCUGACCCAGCAACGCCGCGUGAAGGAU